rnacentral:rRNA from 1 species
AUGGCUCACCUGGAUGAUUCCUUGCUUCAGGAGCUCGGCCACUUGCUUCUCGAUUUCCGUUUUGAGUGCUGGAGGUACCGAUAUGGUCGAACGAAAAAUAGUUGUGCUCCUGGCACCAGAGGAAUGUGGUGGUCGCAAGCCCUCAAUGGUGGCAUGCCUUGGGGUUCGGCAAACACAUCCCUGUAUCGGUCAAGCAGGUCGUUAACUUGUGGUGGCAGCAUUUUCUGCUCCGGCGGGUCCAAUUGGUACAAUUGCAUGAUCAGGAGGCUGUCAUUAUCUUUAGACAGGGCUUGUAGUUGCGCUGCUGUCACCAGCGAGCAUUGA